GACGAACGCUGGCGGCGUGCUUAACACAUGCAAGUCGAACGGAAAGGCCCUGCUUUUGUGGGGUGCUCGAGUGGCGAACGGGUGAGUAACACGUGAGUAACCUGCCCUUGACUUUGGGAUAACUUCAGGAGACUGGGGCUAAUACCGGAUAGGAGCUCCUGCUGCAUGGUGGGGGUUGGAAAGUUUCGGCGGUUGGGGAUGGACUCGCGGCUUAUCAGCUUGUUGGUGGGGUAGUGGCUUACCAAGGCUUUGACGGGUAGCCGGCCUGGGAGGGUGACCGGCCACAUUGGGACUGGGAUACGGCCCAGACUCCUACGGGAGGCAGCAGUGGGGAAUAUUGCACAAUGGGCGGAAGCCUGAUGCAGCAACGCCGCGUGCGGGAUGACGGCCUUCGGGUUGUAAACCGCUUUCGCCUGUGACGAAGCGUGAGUGACGGUAAUGGGUAAAGAAGCACCGGCUAACUACGUG
rnacentral:rRNA from 1 species